GAAACUGCAGGAAAAAUGGCAUUUUAAGGCUCUGAGGAGCCGGGGACGAGGGAUAAAUGGGAUUUUAAGGCUCUGAGGAGCCAGAACUGAGAGAAAAGCCGGAUUUUGAGGCCCUGCCUGUGUUUUCCCCCCCCUGCAGCGCUGAGUGACCCCCGCAGUUUUUACCUGUCCGCCGUGUGGAGCUUCAUGGCCCUGAAAUGGGCCCUCCUGCUCAGCCUCUACUCGCGCCGCUACCGCGCCGAGUUCGCCGACAUCAGCAUCCUGAGCGACUUCUGAGCACCCCCGGGCCCAAAUCCCGGGAAUCCGGCCCCAAAUCCCGGGAAUCCGGCCCCAAAUCCCGGGGAUCCCGCCCCAAAUCCCGUGGAUCCGGCCCCAAAUCCAGGGAAUCCGGCCCCAAAUCCCGGGAAUCCGGCCCCAGAGCCCGGGAAUUCAGCCCCAAAUCCCGGGAAUUCAGCCCCAGAGCCCGGGAAUUCAGCCCCAAAUCCCGGGAAUCCGGCCCCAAAUCCCAGGACCUGCAGCUCCAGGGGUUUUUCCUUCCCACACAAAAUUCCCAGGAUCUGCAGCUCUGGGGGUUUCUUUUCCUACAUAAACUCCCCAGGACCUGCAUCUCCAGGGGUUUUUCCUUCCCAAAAAACAUCCCCAGGACCUGCAGCUCCAGAGAUUUCCCUUCCCACACAAGGUCCCAAGGAUCUCCCAGCCAGGUCCUGCAUCUCCAGGAGUUCCUCUUCCCACAAAAAUUCCCGGGAUCUGCAUCUCCAGGGGUUUCUUUUCCCACAAAAAUUCCCAGGAUCUGCAUCUCCAGGGAGUUUCUUCUCCCAGGACCUGCCCCCCGGACUGGGGUGGGAUCGGGAUGCAGAAUCCCACCCCUGCCCCCUGCCUUGGGAUGCAGAAUUCCCGGUUUAAAGCGGAUUUUCCCGUUAAUUUUGGUCCCCUCUUGGCCCUGUUCGAUGUCCAGGGACAAACCCCUGGAUGGGGGUGGGAUCGGGAUGCAGAAUCCCAGCCCUGCCCCCUGGAUUGGGAUGCAGAAUUCCCUCUGGAGUUGCUUUUCCCGGCUCCUCCCCUCCCAUCCCGGUGUUUUAUCCCUGGAAUUUCCCCUCCUCAGCUUCCGUGUGUGUGUAAAUAGCGACUCCCAGUUUUCCCCGGGAAGGUUUGGGGUGGGUGGUUGGGAUGGAGGGGGGAUUAUCCCCCCCGGAUUCCAUGUGCAACUGGCCGUGAAGCA
rnacentral:lncRNA from 1 species